rnacentral:rRNA from 1 species
GACGAACGCUGGCGGCGUGCUUAACACAUGCAAGUCGAACGGAGAGGCCCUGCUUUUGUGGGGUGCUCGAGUGGCGAACGGGUGAGUAACACGUGAGUAACCUGCCCUUGACUUUGGGAUAACUUCAGGAAACUGGGGCUAAUACCGGAUAGGAGCUCCUGCUGCAUGGGGGGGGUUGGAAAGUUUCGGCGGUUGGGGAUGGACUCGCGGCUUAUCAGCUUGUUGGUGGGGUAGUGGCCUACCAAGGCUUUGACGGGUAGCCGGCCUGAGAGGGUGACCGGCCACAUUGGGACUGAGAUACGGCCCAGACUCCUACGGGAGGCAGCAGUGGGGAAUAUUGCACAAUGGGCGGAAGCCUGAUGCAGCAACGCCGCGUGCGGGAUGACGGCCUUCGGGUUGUAAACCGCUUUCGCCUGUGACGAAGCGUGAGUGACGGUAAUGGGUAAAGAAGCACCGGCUAACUACGUG